GCUGGCGGCAGGCCUAACACAUGCAAGUCGAACGGAGUUAUAUUGUAGCUUGCUAUGGUAUAACUUAGUGGCAGACGGGUGAGUAAUGUAUAGGAAUCUACCUAGUAGUACGGAAUAAUUGUUGGAAACGGCAACUAAUACCGUAUACGCCCUACGGGGGAAAAAUUUAUUGCUAUUAGAUGAGCCUAUAUUAGAUUAGCUAGUUGGUGGAGUAAUAGCCUACCAAGGCAAUGAUCUAUAGCUGAUCUGAGAGGAUGAUCAGCCACACUGGAACUGAGAUACGGUCCAGACUCCUACGGGAGGCAGCAGUGGGGAAUAUUGGACAAUGGGCGAAAGCCUGAUCCAGCCAUGCCGCAUGAGUGAAGAAGGCCUUUGGGUUGUAAAGCUCUUUUAGUGAGGAAGAUAAUGACGGUACUCACAGAAGAAGUCCUGGCUAACUCCGUGCCAGCAGCCGCGGUAAUACGGAGAGGGCUAGCGUUAUUCGGAAUUAUUGGGCGUAAAGGGCGCGUAGGCGGAUUAGUAAGUUAAAAGUGAAAUCCCAAGGCUCAACCUUGGAAUUGCUUUUAAAACUGCUAAUCUAGAGAUUGAAAGAGGAUAGAGGAAUUCCUAGUGUAGAGGUGAAAUUCGUAAAUAUUAGGAGGAACACCAGUGGCGAAGGCGUCUAUCUGGUUCAAAUCUGACGCUGAGGCGCGAAGGCGUGGGGAGCAAACAGGAUUAGAUACCCUGGUAGUCCACGCUGUAAACGAUGAAUGUUAAAUAUGGGAAGUUUUACUUUCUGUAUUACAGCUAACGCGUUAAACAUUCCGCCUGGGGACUACGGUCGCA
rnacentral:rRNA from 1 species